rnacentral:rRNA from 1 species
GUGGGGAAUAUUGGACAAUGGGCGCAAGCCUGAUCCAGCCAUGCCGCGUGAGUGAUGAAGGCCCUAGGGUUGUAAAGCUCUUUUGUGCGGGAAGAUAAUGACUGUACCGCAAGAAUAAGCCCCGGCUAACUUCGUGCCAGCAGCCGCGGUAAUACGAAGGGGGCUAGCGUUGCUCGGAAUCACUGGGCGUAAAGCGCACGUAGGCGGACUCUUAAGUCGGUGGUGAAAUCCUGGAGCUCAACUCCAGAACUGCCUUCGAUACUGGGAGUCUCGAGUUCGGGAGAGGUGAGUGGAACUGCGAGUGUAGAGGUGAAAUUCGUAGAUAUUCGCAAGAACACCAGUGGCGAAGGCGGCUCACUGGCCCGAUACUGACGCUGAGGUGCGAAAGCGUGGGGAGCAAACAGGAUUAGAAACCCUUGUAGUCC